GACGAACGCUGGCGGCGUGGAUUAGGCAUGCAAGUCGAACGGUAUCAUCCUUUCGGGGGUGAGAGAGUGGCGAACUGGUGAGUAACACGUAGGUUAUCUACCCUCAAGACGGGGACAACCCAGGGAAACUUGGGCUAAUACCGGAUGUGAGCAACUUUUAGUUGUUUGAAAGGUGGCGUAAGCUGUCGCUUGGGGAUGAGCCUGCGUCCUAUUAGUUAGUUGGUGAGGUAACGGCUCACCUAGGCAAUGAUAGGUAGGCGGCCUUAACGGGUGGUCGCCCACACUGGGAUUGAGAUACGGCCCAGACUCCUACGGGAGGCAGCAGUCGAGAAUAGUCUACAAUGGUCGGAAGACUGAUAGUGCGACGCCGCGUGAACGAUGAAUCCCUUCGGGGUGUAAAGUUCUUUUAUAUGUGAGCAGUGCUUCUUAUAUUAACAGUAUGGGGAGAGAGAUAUUAGCAUAUGAAUAAGCAACGGCUAACUCCGUGCCAGCAGCCGCGGUAAAAA
rnacentral:rRNA from 1 species